rnacentral:rRNA from 1 species
UACAGAGGGGGCAAGCGUUAUUCGGAAUUAUUGGGCGUAAAGGGCGCGUAGGCGGCUUGGCAAGUGGAAGGUGAAAUCCCUCGGCUUAACCGAGGAACUGCCCUCCAAACUGCUUUGCUUGAGGCCGGGAGAGGUAAGUGGAAUUCCCAGUGUAGCGGUGAAAUGCGUAGAUAUUGGGAGGAACACCAGUGGCGAAGGCGGCAUCCUGGACCGGUAUUGACGCUGAGGCGCGAAAGCCAGGGGAGCAAACGGG